UGGGGAAUUUUGGACAAUGGGCGCAAGCCUGAUCCAGCCAUGCCGCGUGCGGGAAGAAGGCCUUCGGGUUGUAAACCGCUUUUGUCAGGGAAGAAAUCUUCUGAGUUAAUACCUCGGGAGGAUGACGGUACCUGAAGAAUAAGCACCGGCUAACUACGUGCCAGCAGCCGCGGUAAUACGUAGGGUGCAAGCGUUAAUCGGAAUUACUGGGCGUAAAGCGUGCGCAGGCGGUUUUGUAAGACAGAGGUGAAAUCCCCGGGCUCAACCUGGGAACUGCCUUUGUGACUGCAAGGCUUGAGUGCGGCAGAGGGGGAUGGAAUUCCGCGUGUAGCAGUGAAAUGCGUAGAUAUGCGGAGGAACACCGAUGGCGAAGGCAAUCCCCUGGGCCUGCACUGACGCUCAUGCACGAAAGCGUGGGGAGCAAAACAGGAUUAGAUACCCUGGUAGUCCACGCCCUAAAACGAUGUCAACUGGUUGUUGGGAAGGUUCCUUCUCAGUAACGUAGCUAACGCGUGAAGUUGACCGCCUGGGGAGUACGGCCGCAAGGUUGAAACUUAAAUGAAUUGACGGGGU
rnacentral:rRNA from 1 species